AUUGAACGCUGGCGGCAUGCCUUACACAUGCAAGUCGAACGGUAACAGGUCUUCGGAUGCUGACGAGUGGCGAACGGGUGAGUAAUACAUCGGAACGUGCCUAGUAGUGGGGGAUAACUACUCGAAAGAGUGGCUAAUACCGCAUGAGAUCUACGGAUGAAAGCAGGGGAUCGCAAGACCUUGUGCUACUAGAGCGGCCGAUGGCAGAUUAGGUAGUUGGUGGGAUAAAAGCUUACCAAGCCGACGAUCUGUAGCUGGUCUGAGAGGACGAUCAGCCAAACUGGGACUGAGACACGGCCCAGACUCCUACGGGAGGCAGCAGUGGGGAAUUUUGGACAAUGGGCGCAAGCCUGAUCCAGCAAUGCCGCGUGCAGGAUGAAGGCCUUCGGGUUGUAAACUGCUUUUGUACGGAACGAAAAGCCCUGGGUUAAUACCCUGGGGUCAUGACGGUACCGUAGAAUAAGCACCGGCUAACUACGUGCCAGCAGCCGCCGUAAUAC
rnacentral:rRNA from 1 species